rnacentral:tRNA from 1 species
GCAUUGGUGGUUCAGUGGUAGAAUUCUCGCCUGCCACGCGGGAGGCCCGGCCAAUGCA